UACGGAGGAUCCAAGCGUUAUCCGGAUUUAUUGGGUUUAAAGGGUGCGUAGGCGGCCUGUUAAGUCAGGGGUGAAAGACGGUAGCUCAACUAUCGCAGUGCCCUUGAUACUGAUGGGCUUGAAUGUACUAGAGGUAGGCGGAAUGUGACAAGUAGCGGUGAAAUGCAUAGAUAUGUCACAGAACACCAAUUGCGAAGGCAGCUUACUACACAACGAUUGACGCUGAGGCACGAAAGCGUGGGGAUCAAACAGG
rnacentral:rRNA from 1 species